CAGCCGCCGCGGUAAAACGAAGGGUGCAAGCGUUAAUCGGAAUUACUGGGCGUAAAGCGCACGCAGGCGGUUUGUUAAGUCAGAUGUGAAAUCCCCGAGCUUAACUUGGGAACUGCAUUUGAAACUGGCAAGCUAGAGUCUUGUAGAGGGGGGUAGAAUUCCAGGUGUAGCGGUGAAAUGCGUAGAGAUCUGGAGGAAUACCGGUGGCGAAGGCGGCCCCCUGGACAAAGACUGACGCUCAGGUGCGAAAGCGUGGGGAGCAAACAGGAUUAGAUACCCCUGUAGUCCCUGUCUCUUAUAC
rnacentral:rRNA from 1 species